AUUGCCUCAGUAACGGCGAGUGAAGCGGCAACAGCUCAAAUUUGAAAUCUGGCUCCUUCGGGGCCCGAGUUGUAAUUUGCAGAGGAUGCGUCGGGUACGGGUGCCUUCCGAGUUCCCUGGAACGGGACGCCAUAGAGGGUGAGAGCCCCGUCUGGUAGGAUACCCAGCCCGUGUGACGCUCCCUCGACGAGUCGAGUAGUUUGGGAAUGCUGCUCUAACGGGAGGUAUACUCCUUCCAAGGCUAAAUACCGGCUGGAGACCGAUAGCGCACAAGUAGAGUGAUCGAAAGAUGAAAAGCACUUUGAAAAGAGAGUCAAACAGCACGUGAAAUUGUUAAAAGGGAAGCGCUCGCUACCAGACUUGGGUUCGGCGGUUCAACCGGGGCCACGCCCCGGGGCAUUCCGCCGGCCCAGGCCAGCAUCAGCUUUCCGUCGGGGGUAAAGGCGUCGGGAAUGUGGCUCCCCUUCGGGGGAGUGUUAUAGCCCGUCGUGUCAUACCCUUCGGGGGGCUGAGGUACGCGCUUCUGCAAGGAUGCUGGCGUAAUGGUAGCUAGUGACCCGUCUUGAAACACGGACCAAGGAGUCAACCUUAUGUGCGAGUGCCCGGGCGUAAAACCCCAGCGCGGAAUGAAAGUGAACGUAGGUGAGAGCUUCGGCGCAUCACCGACCGAUCCUGAUGUCCUCGGACGGAUUUGAGUGAGAGCAUAUAGGGUUGGACCCGAAAGAAGAUGAACUAUGCGUGUGUAGGGUGAAGCCAGAGGAAACUCUGGUGGAGGCUCGCAGCGGUUCUGACGUGCAAAUCGAUCGUCAAACAUGCGCAUGGGGGCGAAAGACUA
rnacentral:rRNA from 1 species